rnacentral:lncRNA from 1 species
CUUGCAUGCUCUGGGCAGAGCAGCCUCUAGAUGGCAUAGAAUGUUUUAGGAACUUCUUACUUGUCAUGAAAAGCAGAGGACACUGGAGCAGCUGCCUGGCUAAGUUGUGUAAUUUGUGUCAGCCCAAGGAGCCCUGUGUGAGAAGAUAUGAAUCCUCAUAAUAACUGAGGUCCUGGAUAAAACAAACCUGAUUGCAGUACUGUGAGUCCCUCCAAAGAGAUUCAACUGGAGGAGAUCACAGCUCCCAAAAAGAACAUCACUGGUGAGUUGAGAGAAACUGACUAAUAUGGGUGAAAUGAUAGAGAAGCCAGUGGCUACUGUUGUAUCAAGAGACUGUGCCUGACUUGGCCAUGCCUGGCCAUCCCUGCUACGUUCUGGGAAGGAGACUACCAUCUGUAAACAGAAAGACUUGCACCACAAGGGACAUACAGAGUUUGCCGUGGAAGUCACCCUGAAAGAGUAAGUCAGGCUCAAGACAGAAGUGCACAUCUGGAAUGCAGUCUUCAUUCUGUUGAGGUCCCUGUGCAAUUUACUCUGGUCACUAGAAGCAUGGAGAUCAGCUUGGGCAGGAAAAUGCUGGUGGCAGAGUGCUGAGGUCCAGGGUGCCGAAGGACUGAGUAAGUGCAAAAGCCCGAGCAGAGGGAUCCUCUUGGAGAAACUCCCUCCUCAGUGACCCCAUUUGGCCUUCUUAAGAUUCCUGGAGGGGUCCAAAGCAAAGAUCACACUUCCUCCAGGCAGAGUGGAUACUGUGAGCACAAGGACAAUGGUGACAAGAGACUGCAGGCACCAGUAAACUGGCUACGAAGGGAACAACAAUUCAUUAAUUUCAAGAGUCUUGAGUUACUAUGAGAUAGAAAUGGUACUGGCCUUGAUGGACUGAAAAACGCUAAGUAUUCUGACUUUCCUACUAUAAAAUGACACAGCCUUAAGUGUUAAGAAUCUAUGUUGGGAUAAUUGGUGUUUAUUUUGAAAAACAUUAACUCUGAGACUAUAAAGGAAUGAGAAAGUUAGAAAACAGCAUAGCCUAGCGAGAAAGUACGUGAUAGAGUGUCAGAACAUCUGGAUUCUGGCUUGAACUCUGUAAUAUUACAAAACCCAGUGGAUAUCACCAAGUCUGCUGUUCCUCUUUGCAAAAUGAGAUUUUGUUCUUUUACCUGCCACAAAGAAGUGCUAUGAAUAUACGUGAUCUUAAGGACUGAAGAUGUUUUGCUCCUACUGAGGGAACGUUAGACAGCUCUGCAUACUCCUUGACCUAUCAACCAGAGUUUCUCCUUCUCCCCCUCCUUUCCUCUCUUCCUUCAUCAUUGGAGAUCCUGUUUCUACAGAGUGCCAACCAGGACUGCUGUGGGUUCUUGUUUGUGAUAUGUGUAGUUCAAGGAGCACCAUUUUUGCUGGAUAUUUAUUUAAACAAACUUCAGGCAGAUGGCAGUAAAGUGUUUUGUUCCAAAAAAUAUCCAUCUAUUACAACAAUAUUCUGACAUGUGGAAAUAAAGUGUUUUGACAAAGGGAUACAUUUUUUUUUCUAAUUAUCACAAAAUCAUUUGGUGGUAUUCUAAUUGGAUAUAGAUCUGUCUUCCUCAUUAGAGACUGGCAAUAAGAGACAUACAAGAACUUAAUAAAACAUUGUAGAGGAGACUUCUGCAUCUAGAUAGAAGAGGACUGAGUGAAGUAGGAAGUGAUGAUCAACUUAAAGGUUCUGG